UUUCCCAUCUAAUUUCCCCCGAACCAAACACGCCGUCAACACCAAAAAAGACCCUAGUUCGCACGAACUCUCACAUCCACGGCUCCACGCACCUGCACGAACUCAAGCUCGCGCCGCCGCCUCUCUUCUCAGCCGCCGACCAGGCUCGAGGCUGCCGCCGUCUACCUGUCGCGGGCCGCCGCCGUGGAGCCGUCCACCGACCGCCGCCGUUCCCCCACUUCUCCAGACCCCAGCCCCCAGGCAGAGGCAGGCCCCUCCGCGGCUCCGCCUCAGGCUGCUCCCCUAGUCCCGGUCUCCGCAACUGUUCCCGGGCGCGGUGCGCCCGUUCGCCGCCGUGCGUCGUUCCCUACUUCCCGGCCUUACCAAAAUAGAAGUUGAGGAAUAAGAUGAGAGACGAUUGGCUGAAUUACAGGAUGGUUUGCUGUAUUGACCGAGAUGUAUUUGAAAGUAUUGAUGAUGGUGCUAUUAUAUAUCGCUUUCAAUCAUAUAGGUCUCACAAAGGGCUUUUACCUCGUCGAAGUGGUGUUGGUUCAUCUACCGUUGAUCAAGCUAUGGGAGGCACUGAUGAAUGAAGUAAUUGAUUUGGUAUUUUUGUAUCCCGUUAUUAUUAUUUGUACUUCUGUCAUGUUUUAUAGAUUUGGUUGGAUCAUUGUGCAUUGAAUUUUAAUUAAAAUUUUGUUGAGCAAUUGAACUUUAUUUUAUAUGUUUUCAUAUGAGGUAUUGUUUAGAAAUGUUACGAGGUAUUUUUGGGGUUGUUAUAAGGUCCAAAGUUUUUCUAUGUUGUCGGAAAAAAUUUGGCCCAGGGUUUUGGCUUCAUUCCUGGCUCUGCCACUGCUGACCUCUGCGAGGAGGAUCUAGCCUGGUGGAGGAGGGCGUGGGGAGGGGGAGGACAGCCACGGGACUGCUCGCCGGUGACAAGGAGGGAAGCCAUGGACUGCUCGAUACUGAUGGGGUAGUGAAUCGAGCAAUAAUGCUCACAGUUUCUCGUGUUGGGCAUCUAAAUCGAGAGACGGUGCUCACAGUUUCUCAUGCUGGGCUUCUGAGUCAGAGCUCGCGGAGGAGAGAUGAGGCGGUCAGAGUUCUUCAUCCUCGACUCCGACGACUUGUGGCUGAGUGAGUCGGUGUGGAAAAGGUAGAGGAGGUGGCAAGAAGGUAGGGGCUGCUGUGAGGGCGAGCACGCCUGCCAUCGGCAACCAGGAGGCUGAAGAGGGAUGUGGUGUGGCCGCUUGGAGGGUGAGUGCGCUUAUAAAGGUUUGGGUGGUGACUGUGGCUGCCGGCAGUGAAGUCCACUGACUUGCUAUCGUUUGGCGUGGGAUCACUAACCUAUGUGCCAGAUUGCCUGUGGGGCGACAUGUCAGCCACCCACGUCAGGGAAGCAAUAUUGCAGAGAAGCCUCGUCCGCGGUGAAGGGAGGAGGAGGGGCAUUACGGGUUGGGUUGUUCACGCAAUCGAAGAAAGACAUGACUAGUGGGUCUCACAUGUAUGUGAGGGAAACAAAGAAAGAGGAUGAUGGGCUAGAUGUUUUGGGGGCAAAAGGAUCACCAGUGGGUCUCACACGUGAAAGUCCUUUCACAUGUCAUUUAACACUAUUAUGCGGAUUUUUUUUGAUGGAAGCGUUAGAUUUGUAAUGAAACUAGUUAGCUGCCCAUGCGUUGCUACGGAAAUAAAUUAUACUCCCUUCGUCCCAUAUUAAGUGCACUCAAACAAUGUUUGGUUUCAAAGUGUGCACACACGCUGAUUUAAAUUGUGUCGUGUUAUUUCCCGCCGAACAUGCUAAGUCGCCGCACGUGUUAUUCUUUCUUCCUACCUCACUCAUCUCGGCCCAUCACCCAAUUUUGCUCCACUUCACUUCUCUCCGCCAUAGCACACAGUGUUUCAUCACAUUCAAAACAUCCUAUUUCUGAUAGCUACUACAUCUGUAAACAAAUAUAAGUCGUUUUAGAGACUUGACGGAGGGAGUAGUUUCUAUCAAACUAGGUAAUUCCCCCGCGCGUUGCUGCGGGAAUUCUUAGUCCUACGCACGUGGUAAUGCAUAAAUAGAAUAACUUUGUUUGAAUAAGAUGGAUAUAUGAUCUUAAGAUGAUUUUUUCUGGAAUGGACAUAAUACUUGCAGUAUAAUUAUAAAGAUAGCAAAUGUAGUGUUAUGGCAUAAGUAAUCUCAUAUCAUUUACAUUAAUAAUAUUGUAUAUAAACACUCUAAGAGCCGGAUUCUCAAAUGGAGAUGCGAUGAAAGGUAUGUACAAAUUCCCAUUACUUAAUGUGUAUUAUAUGUGGAUCCUGUUGUAAAUAUCUUCUGCAUGUUACUCCCUUCGUUCCUAAAUAUUUGUCUUUCUAGAGAUUUUGACAAGUGACUAUAUACGGAGCAAAAUGAGUGAAUCUACACUCUAAAAUAUGUCCAUUUGAGUCUCUAAAAAGACAAAUAUUUAGGAACGGAGGGAGUAUUACAUAAGUUCUACAGAAUAUAACCAAAUUGUUCAUAUAUAAAAGCAAGUGUAAAAAUAGGGUGUGUUGCAACAUAUAGUUGUAUCUACUAAUAAACUGGAAACAUUAGUUUGUUCUUGUGUUCGUUAACAUCUCUGGUAGCUUAUAUAAUAAUUAGUGUGAACACCUACGAACAUAUUCCUCUUUCCAAAUGAGAAGGGUAUGUUCUGAGGCGAAGCUAAUGCAGAUAGUAGUAGCGGAUGCUUGACAUGAAGGGAUGAUACCGUACUCAGGCUUCAUCUUGCUAAUCAUAAUAUGAAAUCUCUACAAAAUAUUAGAAUGGGCUAAUGAGUCUGGGCAUUAUAUGCAAGCUAUACAAAAUUCUUAUAGAUCAUACACUGAGAUUGGACAGAGAUUAGUAACAUUGUGCAUGUAGAAUAUAAGUAAAUAAGAUGGAACUUCACAAUUGACAGAAGCAACGAAUAUUUUGAGGAGAGAUCCAAUUAAUAUUGCAGCUGAAAGAAAAUAGAAGGUGCCUGCAAGAAAUGACGAUGUAGGUGGAAGCAACGUAUCAAUCCCCUGCUACUUGAGCAGGAAAAAUAAGGUACCUAUGUACGUAUACAUGGAGGUAAGAGGGCAGAGGGAAUUGCAAGCUUUCCCUUUUUAAUAAAGUGUCUAAGGCAUUAAGACAAUCAGCAAGAGCACCAUCGAAAACUAGAAAGUGCACUGGAAUAGCACCACUUGAGCUAUCAAAUGUUUAAUAAAAGAAAUUAAUUGCACAGCUGCUAGUUUGAUUCACGUCGUUAAAGCUUGUGUUAAGCAAUUCAGUAAGCAUCUCCCAACAAAGCAGUAGGAGCAGUAAAGGAGCAGAGAUACUGAAUUAACUUAAAAGGUGGGUUCCUCCAGAAACAAUGACAUAAACUUAAUCUGCAGAAGAAAUACUAUGCCUGAAAACUAUAGAUGUUCUAGGACUAAAGGUGCCAAUGGCCAUGGGAAAUAAAUAGCAGGAAUUCCAGCGCUUUAAGCAUGGAACAAACAGAAUAAUAAAUGCAUGAAUAGUAAGGAAAAUCGGGUGAGUAUGAAAGAACAAAGUAAAGGCACAUGAACUUCAUCUUGGCAAGGUGAUGAUUCAUGGUAUGUGCCAUGGAGAUGGAUCCAAAAUCACAAUUUCUUGGCUGCAAAUAUAUGGGCAUGAAGUCAGGUAUACUAUUUAAUAACUUUUUUGUUGAAAGAAAAGGCAGAGCAGUUUCUGCCUUAGGCAUUUCAAAACAUGUAUGAAACCUGAGUGACCGAUUUCAAUUACAUGAAGGUAAUGUUAACACUGCACGGAAAGUGCAGCUGGCCAUUACCAAGCUGUGUUAAGCUAGAAACAGAGGAGGAGAAAGAGAUAAGAGGUACAGGUUAUUUAUUAAUAACUUUAUUAACAGGUUAACUGAACCUUGGUCCUGUGACUUACGCCCUGGCUGUUGGGAGCAGUGUCUAAAAUAUGUUUUUCUACUUGAUUAGAUUAAUUACUUGGUAGCUGAUUUUGUACCUACAAUAUGCAAGAUCGAGUUAAUUAGGCUGAUCCCAACUGCAAAGAGUCCUGUUCUUCCUCGCCCAAUGCAAGCCACGCCUACCGGCUCGCCAGCUCCACGCCAGAGCAAAGGGAGGACUGAAGGGGCUUCACGACGGGAAGCAGCAAGGUUCAUGUUGCCUUGCGAUGGAGCGGAGUGGAGUAUGGAGGGCGGCCUCAGACGAGUGAAGCCGAUGUGGACGGUCAGAGGAGCCCGGCUAGGCGAAGCCAAUGUGGGGCACCGGUGAGGCGCUGCAGGUGCCCGGUGACACCUUUC